UACAGAGGGUGCGAGCGUUGUCCGGAAUCACUGGGCGUAAAGGGCGCGUAGGUGGUGGCUUAAGCGUGCGGUGAAAGCUCGGGGCUCAACCCCGAGUCGGCCGUGCGAACUGGGCUCACUGGAGCAUAGUAGAGGCAGGUGGAAUUCCGGGUGUAGCAGUGGAAUGCGUAGAGAUCCGGAAGAACACCGGUGGCGAAGGCGGCCUGCUGGGCUAUGGCUGACACUGAGGCGCGGACAGCGUGGGGAGCAAACAGG
rnacentral:rRNA from 1 species